UUCGGAUUCAGAUACUUCUCCUUAUGCACCUUGUGAGAAAUCAUAAGUUUUUGGGUUCUGGGGGAAGUAUGGUCGCAAGGCUGAAACUUAAAAGGAAUUGACGGAGGGGCACCACCAGAAGUGGAGCGUGCGGCUUAAUUUGACUCAACCACGGGAAAACUUACCAGGUCCAGACAUUUGAAGGAUUGACAGAUUGAUAGCUCUUUCAUGAUUAAAUGGGUGGUGGUGCAUGGCCGUUCUUAGUUGGUGGAGUGAUUUGUCUGGUUAAUUCCGAUAACGAACGAGACCUUUACCAGCUAAAUAGUAAUUGUUAGAACUUGUUCUAGUAAGAUAUACUUCUUAGAGGGACUAUUGGUUUUUAAACCAAAGGAAGUAAAGGCGAUAACAGGUCUGUGAUGCCCUUAGAUGUUCUGGGCUGCACGCGCGCUACAAUGAUCAACUCAUCAAGUUAUCUCAACUUGUUUGUGAUCUACUUUUCCUGAAGGAGUGGUUAAUCUUCAACGUUGAUCGUGCUUGGGAUAGAUAAUUGUAAUUAUUUAUCUUGAACAAGGAAUUCCUAGUAAUCGUAAUUCAUCAGAUUGCGAUGAUUACGUCCCUGCCCCUUGUACACACCGCCCGGC
rnacentral:rRNA from 1 species